CCUACGGGUGGCUGCAGUGGGGAAUAUUGGACAAUGGGCGAAAGCCUGAUCCAGCCAUGCCGCGUGUGUGAAGAAGGCCUUCGGGUUGUAAAGCACUUUCAGUGGGGAAGAAAGCCUUGGGGCUAAUACCCUCGAGGAAGGACAUCACCCACAGAAGAAGCACCGGCUAACUCCGUGCCAGCAGCCGCGGUAAUACGGAGGGUGCGAGCGUUAAUCGGAAUUACUGGGCGUAAAGCGCGCGUAGGCGGUCUGAUAAGCCGGUUGUGAAAGCCCCGGGCUCAACCUGGGAACGGCAUCCGGAACUGUCAGGCUAGAGUGCAGGAGAGGAAGGUAGAAUUCCCGGUGUAGCGGUGAAAUGCGUAGAGAUCGGGAGGAAUACCAGUGGCGAAGGCGGUCUUCUGGACUGACACUGACGCUGAGGUGCGAAAGCGUGGGUAGCAAACAGGAUUAGAUACCCUUGUAGUC
rnacentral:rRNA from 1 species